AUGAGAGAGAGCGAGGCGGAGACAAGGCCGCCCGAGGCGGCCGGAAUACCACCGCCGUUCCCUCCAUCCUCGCCGGAUGGAAUCACAGGGGAGUCGCAUCUGGCCUAUCCGCGAUCUCCAAGCAUCCUAGCGGCGGUGCCUUUGGGAGGAGACGGAGGGUCGACAAGAUCGGACGGCGCGCGGAGAGAUCAGCCGCACGGCGCGAUUGGGCUUGGAGAGGGAAGAUGGUCACAAUGGCAGGCGCUUUUCUCCGACGAGACGGAUCCGGGCGUCUGGAUCGACGGAAGGCUUCGAUUCACACCGCACUCGCGGUGGUUGGUUCUUCUAGAUCUGGAGAACGAUAUCCUCGCCGGCGACUAUCUACCGGCAGGCGACAUGAUUGAGGUUAUCUUCAGAGCUACAGCUUGGAUCCGUACGUGGUCCUUACUCACUCCUAUGGACUCCAGGGAGCCUUUGGUUACUGGGUGCAACCAAUGGAAGAUGGUAACUCGGGCUAUAUUCAACCGGUUCGGAUGGCGGUCGCAUAACAGAAUAGAGGGCUAG
rnacentral:rRNA from 1 species